rnacentral:miRNA from 1 species
UAGCCCUUACCCCCCCGACUAAUA